GACGAACGCUGGCGGCGUGCUUAACACAUGCAAGUCGAACGGAAAGGCCCUGCUUUUGUGGGGUGCUCGAGUGGCGAACGGGUGAGUAACACGUGAGUAACCUGCCCUUGACUGUGGGAUGACUUCAGGAAACUGGGGCUAAUACCGGAUAGGAGCUCCUGCUGCAUGGUGGGGGUUGGAAAGUUUCGGCGGUUGGGGAUGGACUCGCGGCUUAUCAGCUUGUUGGUGGGGUAGUGGCUUACCAAGGCUUUGACGGGUAGCCGGCCUGAGAGGGUGAACGGCCACAUUGGGACUGAGAUACGGCCCAGACUCCUACGGGAGGCAGCAGUGGGGAAUAUUGCACAAUGGGCGGAAGCCUGAUGCAGCAACGCCGCGUGCGGGAUGACGGCCUUCGGGUUGUAAACCGCUUUCGCCUGUGACGAAGCGUGAGUGACGGUAAUGGGUAAAGAGGCACCGGCUAACUACGUG
rnacentral:rRNA from 1 species